rnacentral:rRNA from 1 species
UACGAAGGGGGCUAGCGUUGCUCGGAAUCACUGGGCGUAAAGGGUGCGUAGGCGGGUUUCUAAGUCAGAGGUGAAAGCCCGGAGCUCAACUCCGGAACUGCCAUUGAAACUGUUGAACUUGAGGACGAGAGAGGUGAGUGGAAUUCCCAGUGUAGAGGUGAAAUUCGUAGAUAUUGGGAAGAACACCAGUGGCGAAGGCGGCUCACUGGCUCGUAUCUGACGCUCAGGCGCGAUAGCGUGGGGAUCAAACAGG